UUAAUUUAGUUUCUUUUUAGGCAGUAUAAAGACAAGGAAGAAGAACAUCAGAGUGGUUUUUUUUCUGCUUUAACAAAUAUGGUGGGCAGCAUGUUCAUAGCAGACGCCCAUGAGAAAAUCUCAGUUCAAACCAAUGAGGCCAUUCUUCUCGCACUUUAUGAAGCUGUCCAUUUAAAUCGAAACUUCAUCACAGUUUUAGCUCAGAGCCAUCCAGAGAUGGGGUUGGUGACAACCCCUGUCAGCCCUACUCCUACAACCCCAGCCACACCACUUGGGACUACACCGCCUUCCUCUGAUGGUGAGGCCACCACUUGUAUUAUUGUAUUCUUGAUUAAUAUGAUUUUAGAUCUUUCUUUCUCUCUUUUUAGUGUGUUCAUUAUUU
rnacentral:lncRNA from 1 species